rnacentral:rRNA from 1 species
GUCACUUUCCGUGAGUUCAAAGGGGAUCGAGGUGAGGUUGGCUUCCUGGAGUUCAUCUUCCAGAGUGCGCGGGCGCUGGAGAUGGUAGCUAUUUUCAUGGCCAGUCCAAGCUUCACACCGUUCUCGAUGGACGAGGCACUUGUCAAGGUGCAAUACAGCGCUAGAAACCUGGCAAGUAAAUCCUGCAAAAAGUGCAUCAUCUGGAGUUGCCGUCCUGAAGGCGGCGAUCCUUGGAGCCUCAGAGUCGGGGCCGAUUUCUCCUUCGAGGACCCGUUCACGGUGAGGUCGGUGAGGGAGGAGGACAGCUGA